rnacentral:rRNA from 1 species
GCCAUCUUAGGCUGAAACCACCAUUUCCCGUCUGCUCUGUGAAGUUAA